AGUCGCCCCGGCAACAGCCGCCUCCCUCGCGUCCCCCACUCCCCCUCUGUCUCUCCAAGGAAAACUAGGCCCCUGCGCGGCCAACGCCCAGGAUCCGCAAGCUGCGCGCCCACGAGGUGACUUCGGGGACGGCUGGGUUUCCUUUGGGGAGUGAGGGAGGAGCUUAGACGCCCCGGGCCCUGGCUUCUUCUGAUGCGCAGAGAGCCGAGGUCUUGGACGUCACGUUGCUCUCAUAAUUAUCUUAAUCCCGCGACAAAAGGUGGGGCCGGAGGCCCAUGAGAUUCCUAAAUCAUUGCAGGUUAAUUGUGAGAGGGGACCAGUCCCAGAGGCUCUCAGCUCUGCAGUGCUUCCGAAUCACUGGACGACUCUUUAAGAAUUCUGAUCCCCGGGCCCCCAUCCCGGACCAAUGAAAUCAGAAUCUCUAAUAGUGGGGCCCUGGCAUCGGUAGUUUUUAAAGCUGCCCAGGUGAUUCUGGGGUGCCGAGAACCACCGUGUUAAGGUCUGUAGGUGAAUUCGGAUUUUGCCCAUCCAGUCCAGUAUCUGAAUAGAAGAUCGCCCAGGACAGCCACAUACUUGAAGGAUGUCUAGGAUAUUGCCCUCUCUGCUCAAAAAUUCGGGUUUCUUUCUUUUCUCUUGCACUUUAACCUCUGCAGGAGGUCAGCUUUUGGUGGGAGUUAUCUUGAGACAUCUGGCGCCUACAGUUUAUGGGCCUUGUGUCUCUGCCCACUUAUCAGUAAUGAGCUGUAAUUGAACCAGUGGCCAACGAAGUGCAUUUUAGCUCUGAAAUCUUGAUGUUCCCUUAGUACAGAUCAGAUGGUUCUGAACAAUUUUAUUUUUUUCAGGAAUGAUGUUUUUAAACUCGUUUGACAGGCUAGGCUGUGUAUUCAGCUGUUCUUCAUCUCAAAUCAGAACAAUAUUACUUAAAAAAUCUAGACUAAAGAUUAGUAACGCAACACUUCUAGGAUUAUUUAUGCUCACAGCCCCCAUGAAUUGUAGGAUGAGAGCUACCCUUUAAAAAUACUAUUUUUGCUAGCAUAAUUUAUCGGAAUAACAGUCUCUUUGUAAUUUCAAUGUGAACAGAAACCAUAUAUUUUUAAAGACUGCUGGUUAGUAACUUGGAAUAAGCAUAACUGAAAGCAAGUUCACAGGUGUAUAAAUCCCCUCUGUGUGUUCAUUGCUGUGCUGGGGAAGUAUACAAACUAAAGUUCCAGAGAGAAAUGUUCAUUCUGAAACUGUUCUAUAGAUGGUGAUUAAUCAUUUUGGGUUUUUUUUUAAAGGAUAGGGUGAGAUGAGAAUGACGGGGGAAAGUUUUGAACAGUUAAGGCUAGAGUGUAAAUUGGAGAGUUUGCAAAGUAGGUACAGAACUUUUUUUGAACAACUUCUCUACAAGAGGAAAUUCAGCCACGGAACAGCUGGACAAGUGAAAAAAGAAUGUAGUUGAUCAAAUAUCAGAUGAAUUGAAAAGAUCUUUGAAAACAUAAUGUAUUUAAAUAUUUGCUUCCUGAAAAGAUUUGGUGCUUUAUAGUCAGUUUUUUGAGUUACUAGGUCCUCAGAGAUUUUGGGGAGUAGAUGCAGGAGGAGAGAACGUUAUCAGGAAACAACAGACAAGCUCAACAAUUUCAGCAGCAUCUAAGAGCAUGAAAUAUUAGCUAUUAUUUUUAUGCUGGAAGGAAAAUAGGAAACUUAAAAGGAGUAGAUUGUAGAAUCCAUGCCUACAGGUAACUGAGUAAGUGCCCAAGUAAAUGAGGCAUAGUGAGUGCCUAUAAAUUCAGAAAAGAGAGAUUAACAUGGAAUUACCGUGAAUAUGUUUAUAGAAAAAAGUAAAUUUGAAAUAAGACGCCUGAAAUGUACUAGCGAUCUUAACUACUUUAAACUAGCCAUGGUUUUUGCUGUUAUGCUCUUAAUUUGCAGAACCUGCCUAUUCAACCCUUAUUACCUUAUGGUCACACUAGGUUUUGCUUAUGAAGGACAUGCUUGCUGUGAAACAAACUUAUCUGUUUCCUCUUUUGAACUAUGUUAUCAUUAUGUCAUUCUCAGUCAUCCCAUUGCUUGUUGUGUUCCUGAGUCAGAGGGUAACUUUGUUCCUGGCCUCAUAUUUCACUUUUGAUUCUGAUAUUAGUCACAAGGGGAUUCAGAGAACUUGCAAAUAAACCCAUUCACAAAUUCAUCACACUUGCUGACAAAUUAAACAAUGCCCUUCUGUGGGUGGAAUGUCAUUUGUAUGAAAAAAAGAAUUGUUAACUGCAUCCUUUCAGCCUUACUCCUUCCCCAUGCUAUGCCUUCUUUGUGACAGUACUUAUUACAACAUCCAGAAGAGGGUAAAUUGGGGUUGGGGAUUGAGGGAAUGAAAAGAAAAUAAAACUCAGUUUUUUGGCUCCCUUGCCUAUCAGUUUUAACUGUAGCUAUUAUAGACGGGGAGAUGCAGGCUUUCUGAACACAGUGGCAUGUGCACUUGAGUAGGCCUGUGUCCUGCCCAAGAUGGAGCUUGGAUGUCUGCAGGUGGAAGAAGGCCAUUUGGACUUGAGCCAUCUUUGAUGUCCAAAUCACUAAGCAGGGACCAUGCAAAGACACAGGAGGGAGGCCAUGAGGGCAUCAAGCCAGAUGAGCUUGCCAGCCUCAGCAACCAGCCAGGGAUGGGGGCAGGGCUGCCCAAGUAGGUGGGGCAGGAAGCCCAGCCCUCAACAAAACCCUAUUAUAUUCUUUGUCUUAGUGAGGAAGUUCUUACUGUUGUGUGUAUUAUUGGAAGACAUCUUCUGUGAUAGGGUUAUUAUUGCAUGUACAGAGAGAUUCCUUGGAACCGCAUAUGACUCAAUCUAUCUCACUCAGAUUUCUCACCAUACCUUCACUUAUUUUGCUGCAGUGUCCAGCAGAUCUCCUUGAAACAGUGUGUACUGAAGACCUAACUAAAUCCUCCAAAUUACCUGGUUGGUUCAGAGAACCAAAUCACUGGAGCUUUGUAGGGAAGGUUUGACUUUCAGGGCUUUAGCCAGAGUAACUUAUUUAAUGAUUGGCUUUUAAUGUGUUUCUGUGCAAAGAUCAAAGCAGGUGAAUUUUCAUGUAUUUUUAGAAUUCUAGUAGAAAAGGAAGAUAGGAAAAUCUAGUUCAAGUAUACAUUCUAGUUUUUAGGGGAAUUUGUGUUUUUAUUUUACUUUUUUGGUUGCUACGAUUUGUCCUAUAUUCUAUAUUUAUAAGAACAUAAAUAUGUAAUUAAAAGAAUAUAUUUGAUGGCACUACCUGUCAACAAAGCCACUUAUUUGUGAAAUUUUUUGGUAACUUGAUGGAAAUAGUCACAUUUUAUCCAUUGAAAACUACAAAGCUCUUAUCUAUUGUUCUUUGUGUAUAUUUAUGCAUUAAAAAUAGAUCCUGCAGGAUGAGCAGAUGUACUGAAGUGUAAAUCCGUUUUUUAAGAGAGGCUAUAUGGAAAAAUAUAUCAUUCAAGACUCAGUCUCUGCCUUGCCUAUAGGCCUCGUCAGUGUUUAGUGAAUGACCUCAACCCUGUUUUUUUCCUUCCUUCUUUGGUGGUUGAGGACAGACAAUGAAUGGUCUCUGUACUCGCCUGGGCUCAGCUGGGUGGUGGCCAUUAUGCCAUUGUGCUCACUGGAGAGGGCUGCCGGGUUUGUAGAGCUGCGGAUCCCGGCCUUCCCUGACAUUGCCAAUCUCUUUUCUUUCAGCUCCACCAGCCCAUUGGAGAAAAGUUACUGUUCAGUCCCUGAAGGCUUGUGCCAUAAAAGAGUGGGAGACAUUCCCAGGGAGUUUCAGCACCCAUUUGGACUUUCACAAUCAGAGAUGGCAGCGGUAAAGGCAUCAACAUCGAAAGCUACCAGGCCUUGGUAUUCUCAUCCGGUAUAUGCAAGAUACUGGCAACAUUAUCAUCAAGCAAUGGCUUGGAUGCAAAGCCAUCACAAUGCCUACAGGAAGGCCGUGGAAUCCUGUUUCAAUCUUCCAUGGUACUUACCUUCUGCGCUUCUUCCCCAAAGCUCUUACGAUAAUGAGGCUGCGUAUCCUCAGUCCUUCUAUGACCAUCAUGUGGCCUGGCAGGACUACCCCUGCAGUUCUUCACAUUUCAGAAGAUCUGGGCAGCAUCCACGUUACAGCAGUAGGAUCCAGGCAUCCACAAAAGAAGACCAAGCUUUGUCCAAAGAGGAAGAGAUGGAGACUGAGUCAGAUGCAGAGGUAGAAUGUGACCUGAGCAAUAUGGAAAUCACUGAAGAGCUCCGCCAGUACUUUGCAGAGACCGAGAGGCAUAGAGAAGAACGACGGCGGCAGCAGCAGCUGGAUGCAGAGCGCCUGGACAGCUAUGUGAACGCUGACCACGACCUGUACUGCAACACCCGCCGGUCGGUAGAAGCCCCAACUGAGAGGCCUGGUGAGCGGCGCCAGGCCGAGAUGAAGCGUUUGUACGGGGACAGUGCUGCCAAGAUCCAAGCCAUGGAGGCCGCGGUGCAGCUGAGCUUUGACAAGCACUGUGACCGAAAGCAGCCCAAGUACUGGCCGGUCAUCCCCCUGAAGUUCUGAGCUCAGGGCACAGGGUACCCAGCCUCUCCUUCUUCCUUUUGGAGCUUAGAUGUCAUACAGAAUUGAGAGCAAAGAACAAUAAUUCCGGCCCGGCGCGGUGGCUCAUGCCUGUAAUCCCAGCACUUUGGGAGGCUGAGGUGGGCAGAUCACGAGAUCAGGAGAUCGAGACCAUCCUGGCUAACACGAUGAGGAGACUGAAGCACAGAGAAAUUAACCAACAUCACCACAUUCACUUCAAGUGAUGGAUGUGAGCUUCAAACACAGAUAUUCUGACUCCUAACUUCCCUGCCGUUAGCUGCUCCAGCAUGCUGAAAUCUGGUUCUAACAACCACAUUCACAGGAAGUGGAAGUGCUAUAGAAUCUGACAGUGACACCAGAAUGACAAGUCAGAAGGGAAAGUGAAGGAUUCAGCCUUUACAAGGCGUGACUUCUUAAUCCUGUAUUGACAUGGAAUGAUACUCUAGUCAUCUUGGCUUGAUCUAGUGUGCCUCAUUGUCCUGAUCAGAAAAAUCAGAAACUUUGGGGGACCUGAAACAUCAUCUCUCUGGACUUGUUGCAAAGAUGGAAGGUAACACCCUGGAGAUGGUAGAGCAUUGAGACGAGAAGAGUGUGGGUCAUUGAAGACUUCAUGAAACACAGCAGCCACACACCAGCUCUGGACUGCCCCACCCUGACUUUGACAUUAGAGAAGUAAACUUCAUUUUCUUGAGCUACUGUGAUUUGAAAUCUUUGUUACCUACAGCUGGGGCUAAUCCUUUCUGAUACACAUGGCCACCAGCCAUACUAUGAGAAAGCCCCAGGUCAAGAGUGAGGAUCUGGGCUAUUCAAGAUGUAAGACAGGCAUGGCAAAUCUCACCCAUCAUUGACUCCCAGCUCACAUCCUCUGUCCACCUGAACCACAUUUAUAACAUGCUUAGUCCAACUUUUCCAUUUCCUUAGUCAAUUUUCUUUCUACUUUCUGUUAGGGCCAUUUCAUAAGAUGUUUCAAGUUUGUUGUUGUUGUUGUUUGUUUGUUUGUUUUUUAGCACAGUAGAAAUAGCAGUAGUUACUAAAUAGAAACAACACAAAUAGCAGAGAAUCUCAUAUGUAUGAAUGUCAUUAUGCAUGAAGUAAAAAAGAAACUUGAUAAGAAUCAAGUUUCGAAAAAGAAACCAUAAAAGGCAUUACUGUUCACUCAUAUAUGGCUUCCUUCCACUUUCUCUGGGGGUAAAUGGCACUCCCUGUGCAAGUCUCUUUUUAUGGUAGACAUGCAUAUCUGUUAUUUCUGUUUUAGGAUAUAGUGUGUCUCUCUAGGUCACAAAAGGCCAUUGUUGAUCAAGUUAUGAAGAGAAGAGUAUUAAUACCUCAUGAGCAUUUUUCAGUACACAGCACUUUUCUGUCAUCUUUCCAGAAAAAGAGUUGUGUGUACUAAUUGGAAAAGUAGGUUUCCAAUACAACAUUCAAUACUCUGUACUCAGUCUUGUUUCGUAUAAGGAAACUAUAGUGAGCAAAUAUAGCCACAAUACAUCCAUCCCACAAAUUGGGCACUGGUUGAGUUUUUCACAGUAAUUUGUUAGGUUAUAUUAAGAACGUAAGGAAGUCAGUACAUAAAAAUAAUAAUCAUCUGUGGAGUUUAAGAGCCUAACAAAUUGCAGCCCUCUUUUCUGCCCAAGUUCAGGACCAAUUGAGAAGUCCAACCAGUGGAGAAGGAAAUAAUCAACUUUGUUACUAAUAAGAUGAUUAAGGAGCAUGGCUUUAAAUCCAGCUCCAAAUGGACUUCCUAAUGCAGUCCCAUUGACUUGAACUUAACUAUGGGCUCCCCUGUUUCUGGGGGCAGUGCUUACCCCAUAAGCUUCUUUCAUAGUGGAGAGCAAACCAGAAUGGACCCUUUAAGUGGGCAGGCAAAUUUGGAAGAGAAAUAACCCAAAAAAUCCUGAGCCAAGCAUGUUCAUUUCCUUCUACCAAAUUCACUAAUUAGAGGUGUCACACCUUUUUCUCUGGUGAGAGGUUGUUACAGAGGUGAGGCAAUGGAGAGAAGUUAGACUUGUCCUCAGGUCCUUUUCCUCCUGUAGCAGACCCUGUCCCUGCCCCACCACUAUCCACCAGCUUUAAUUUUGCCAAUUAAAGCUGCCUGUCACCAUCUUUUUGCCCGAAGGCCUUCUUCAAAGCCGUGGAAGCAGCAUUCCUCAACCAAUGACUGACCCAAGUUGGUAAAUAAAUACCCCAACUCCCUUGCCCUAGUGGCUAUAGAACUCUGAGGUGCAUGUUCUAUACUGUUUCCCAGAGCUUUCUGGCAAAACUAAGCCCCAGACACACACAAUGAUAGCCAGCUCAAUAAUGCACCCUUCCUUGGCUUCCUUCCUUUACCUGUCUCAUCUUCCCACUUGCCUAGUGUGUCCUGGAAUCACCACUCAAGUAUUUACUGAGAGUAAAUCCUUGCUCUCAAGUACUUACUGAGAGUAAAUCCUUGCUCUCAAGUACUUAUCUCAAGGUCUUCUUUUAGAUCAGGGAUCAGCAGAUUUUUUCUAGAAAGAGCCAGAUAUUAAUGUUUUAGGCAUUGCAACUGCACAACUCUAGCAUUGCAAUGUGAAAGCAGUCAUAGACAAUAUGUAAAGAAAUGGGCAUGGACUGUGUUCCAACAAAACUGUAUUUACAAAAUCAGGUGGUAGGCUGGAUUUGGUAUCUGAGCCAGGCCAUAGUGUGCUGACCCUUAUUCUAGAGGAAUUUGAGAUAAAUCAUUCCCUGAAUUUGUAUUUUUAUAGCUGUGUAACAAAUUAUCACAAACUUGGCAGCUUAAAACAACACAAAUUUAUUAUCUCACAGUUUCCAUGGGUCAGGAGUCCAAGCACUAUAUAACUGGGUUCUAUGUUCAGGGUCUCACAAGGUUGAAAUAAAGCUUCCAGCUGAGCCACGUUCUCA